UACGGGGGGGGCAAGCGUUGUUCGGAAUCAUUGGGCGUAAAGGGCGCGUAGGCGGUCAGCACAAGUCAGUUGUGAAAUCUCCGAGCUUAACUCGGAAAGGUCAACUGAUACUGUGCGACUAGAGUGCAGAAGGGGCAACUGGAAUUCUCGGUGUAGCGGUGAAAUGCGUAGAUAUCGAGAGGAACACCUGCGGCGAAGGCGGGUUGCUGGGCUGACACUGACGCUGAGGCGCGAAAGCUAGGGGAGCGAACGGG
rnacentral:rRNA from 1 species